GGAAACCAUCGAUUGGCGCUCAGACGAGCUGUAGACGUUGCAGAUUGAGUACAUAGAUGUACUGGGCAUGUAGUGGCCAACGUAAGAAUGAUUAAGUAAACUGAGAGAUAACGUUAGACAACUUUCAUUUUUAAGAAGUGACCUUUUAGUAUAAUGUGAAUAUGAUGAACUAAUAUGUCCCGGAGCGGCUUGGAAAGAUACAAAACGAUUCUGAAUUUACAGCGAUAGGCUUCACAGGGAUGCGUUAAUAACAUGGAUUACCAGGCACACUCGGCACUAAAGGUACUGCGGCACCAACUUGAAACAUUUGAAGCGCUGCAUCAGCAAACAAUGCAGAAUGUCACCACCGUGAGUACAGUUUCUUGAUACCGGUGUGGUGUUAUUUUGUGGUACAGGUUAAAACGUCCUACUCCUGUACUGCGCUUGCCCUGCCAUGAGCAAAUGAUUUUAGCUCAGAAAACAAGGAAAUGACCUUGCAAACUGUAUGUGACUAACUGAUGAGCAACCAACUGGGUUAUAUACGAUUUUGAAUGUGAGAACUACAGUAUGUCUUGUUAGGAAUUUGUGCAGCAGUCAAUCACAGCAUUGACAGUGUACCAUUUUCUGGUGUUAAAAGGGUAGGAGUACCAC